rnacentral:rRNA from 1 species
GUUUGACCUCANAUCAGGUAGGAAUACCCGCUGAACUUAAGCAUAUCAAUAAGCGGGAGGA